CUCCAAUAGACUUCCAUGUUAAAAUGUUUAAAGGCUUAAUGUUAGCUUUCUUAGGGGCGUGGCCUCUUUGACUGACAGAUGCAUGGUGACACACCAUGACCGUGUUUGUGCUGUUGGAGCCCUUUAGAGCACUUUUAAUAACAUCAUGUGGCCAAUAAUAUGGCUGCUGUGAGGUUACCGUAGUAACAGAGCCUCCAGGAAGGCGGAGCUCCAGGUUUGGUGAAAUUCAAGGAUUUUAAUUGGAUGUUACUGAGCACUGAUUGGCAGCCAUCUGUGUGAUGCUCGUCUUCAUAAAGAAGGAUUAUUUUGAACUGUUAAUCAUGCAAAGCUACUCAAUGAGUCCAGAAGUAUGGGCUCCUCACACACACAGAGCCUGUUAUGACACCUCUGCAGCAGCAGGUUAAAGUUAACUUCCUGUAGCCAGUGACACUAACCUCAGAACGUGUGUGUGUCUGUGUGUGUGUCUCAGAUGCUGGAUCAGGAUCUGGAGAUGGAGACGACGAAGGCUCCGGCCGCGGGAAAAAGACCUCCAAAUGUGGGAGCUGCAAGUUUGGAGCCGAGUGUGAUGAAGACUCUGAGGAUAUGAUCUGCAUGUGUAACAUCGUGUGCAACGGCCACAACGACAACCCGGUGUGCGGCAGCGACGGCGUCACCUACGACACGCCCUGUCACGUCCGGGAGGUGUCCUGCCUCAAACAGCUCAAGAUCGACAUCAAGCACGUCGGACGCUGCCAUG